ensembl:miRNA
CGGGCGGGGCGGGUCCGGCCGCCUUCUAGCCCGGCUUGCAGCCCCCGGCCUUAAAGCGCGGGCUGCCCGGAGGGGUUGGCUUUCCCACCG